AAUUCGAUGCAACGCGAAAACCUUACCUACCCUUGACAUGUCCGGAAUCCCGAAGAGAUUUGGGAGUGCCCGCAAGAGAGCCGGAACACAGGUGCUGCAUGGCUGUCGUCAGCUCGUGUCGUGAGAUGUUGGGUUAAGUCCCGCAACGAGCGCAACCCUUGUCAUUAGUUGCCAUCAUUUGGUUGGGCACUCUAAUGAGACUGCCGGUGACAAACCGGAGGAAGGUGGGGAUGACGUCAAGUCCUCAUGGCCCUUAUGGGUAGGGCUUCACACGUCAUACAAUGGUCGGUACAGAGGGUUGCCAACCCGCGAGGGGGAGCUAAUCCCACAAAGCCGAUCGUAGUCCGGAUCGCAGUCUGCAACUCGACUGCGUGAAGUCGGAAUCGCUAGUAAUCGUGGAUCAGCAUGUCACGGUGAAUACGUUCCCGGGUCUU
rnacentral:rRNA from 1 species